UCUUCCUCCCGGGGACGCGGUGCGGAGCCCGCUGCAAACGGCGUGGCCGCGGCACAAUACCGCGGCGCGGCGCACACAAUCACCGCCCCCCAGGACCGGCGGCGCGCAGCGCCAGGAGUGGGGUGCGCCCGGCAGCUCCCGGCACUUGAGGCUAGGCGCACCUCUCGGGCACCCCGCAGGCCCCGGAGCGCAGCCUCCGCCCCUCCCCGCUCUCGGGCACACUCGCCCGCCCCCAGCCCCAGCCCACUCCACCCAGGGCCAGCAGCUCGCCCGGCGCAGGAAGCUCCCCUUUGCACCCGCCCCUGCACCCUCCUUUCCGCUCUGCCGUCAGCUCCAGUGUCCAGGCUGCGCUCACCUGUUCGACCCAAACAUUCCGGCGACCCCGAGCGCCCGCCGCCCGCUCGCUCCCGGCUCCCUCUGAAGGUCCCCGCCCCACUCCGCGGGUCAUUGUGCUCCAGCCGACCACACGGUGCCGGCUCCUUACGGCGCUCUGGCUACAGUUGUAAAGUCAUAGCAUAAUAUCAAUAAUGCUGCCCAGACCUGGGCGCGCACAGUACGCAGGGACUCUGCAGGGAAAGGAAGCCGCACGACCCAAGCCACAGGUUCGGAGCUCCCUGUUGACGGAUUAGAAAAGAUGACAACACUUCAAAUUAACAGCACACAGACUUCAUUCUGCACAUGCUAAAGAUUUUACUGUCAAUAUGAAACUCACGCUUAGAAAAAAAGGAUUUAGGCGUGCUACUCAUUAGCGCCUUUUACUCCUGAAAUUAAAUGUGUUUUCAAAUCAAUUCAGCAAUUCACUUCUCCCACUCUCCCUGUUAGC